rnacentral:rRNA from 1 species
GAAUUGACGGGGCCCGCACAAGCGGUGGAGUAUGUGGUUUAAUUCGAUGCAACGCGAAGAACCUUACCUGGUCUUGACAUCCCGGAGACCCUUAGGAAACUAGGGGGUGCUUCCAUCUGGAAGAAUCUGGAGACAGGUGCUGCAUGGCUGUCGUCAGCUCGUGUCGUGAGAUGUUGGGUUAAGUCCCGCAACGAGCGCAACCCUUGCCUUUAGUUGCCAGCAGUUCGGCUGGGCACUCUAAAGGGACUGCCGGUGUUAAACCGGAGGAAGGUGGGGAUGACGUCAAGUCCUCAUGGCCUUUAUGACCAGGGCUACACACGUACUACAAUGGCCGAUACAAAGGGCAGCGACACUGCGAGGUGAAGCCAAUCCCGUAAAAUCGGUCUCAGUCCGGAUUGGAGUCUGCAACUCGACUCCAUGAAGUUGGAAUCGCUAGUAAUCGUGAAUCAGAAUGUCACGGUGAAUACGUUCCCGGGCCUU